rnacentral:rRNA from 1 species
CGCGGCAAGACGGAAAGACCCCGUGAACCUUUACUAUAGCUUGACACUGAACAUUGAGCCUUGAUGUGUAGGAUAGGUGGGAGGCUUUGAAGCGUGGACGCCAGUCUGCGUGGAGCCGACCUUGAAAUACCACCCUUUAAUGUUUGAUGUUCUAACGUGGAUCCGUAAUCCGGGUUGCGGACAGUGUCUGGUGGGUAGUUUGACUGGGGCGGUCUCCUCCUAAAGAGUAACGGAGGAGCACGAAGGUUGGCUAAUCCUGGUCGGACAUCAGGAGGUUAGUGCAAUGGCAUAAGCCAGCUUGACUGCGAGCGUGACGGCGCGAGCAGGUGCGAAAGCAGGUCAUAGUGAUCCGGUGGUUCUGAAUGGAAGGGCCAUCGCUCAACGGAUAAAAGGUACUCCGGGGAUAACAGGCUGAUACCGCCCAAGAGUUCAUAUCGACGGCGGUGUUUGGCACCUCGAUGUCGGCUCAUCACAUCCUGGGGCUGAAGUAGGUCCCAAGGGUAUGGCUGUUCGCCAUUUAAAGUGGUACGCGAGCUGGGUUUAGAACGUCGUGAGACAGUUCGGUCCCUAUCUGCCGUGGGCGCUGGAGAACUGAGGGGGGCUGCUCCUAGUACGAGAGGACCGGAGUGGACGCAUCACUGGUGUUCGGGUUGUCAUGCCAAUGGCACUGCCCGGUAGCUAAAUGCGGAAGAGAUAAGUGCUGAAAGCAUCUAAGCACGAAACUUGCCCCGAGAUGAGUUCUCCCUGAGACUUAGAGUCUCCUGAAGGAACGUUGAAGACGACGACGUUGAUAGGCCGGGUGUGUAAGCGCAGCGAUGCGUUGAGCUAACCGGUACUAAUGAACCGUGAGGCUUAACCUU